GGUUCCUGAGCAGCUGCGGGCGUCCUGUGGCCAGCCGGAGGGGACCUGUCUAAUCUCAGGACAGCUAGUUCUGAAGAAGGCCCAAGCGGGCGCCAGCCCAGGAACUCUGAGCUGCUGAGGGAGCACGUCCAGCCAAGCAGGCAGCAUGUGGUAAGAAGUUCACAGCGGGCAUAGCUGGGCCUCACUUCCUGACUGGACAGGGGCUGGUGGGAUAC
rnacentral:lncRNA from 1 species